rnacentral:rRNA from 1 species
GACGAACGCUGGCGGCGUGCUUAACACAUGCAAGUCGAACGGAAAGGCCCUGCUUUUGUGGGGUGCUCGAGUGGCGAACGGGUGAGUAACACGUGAGUAACCUGCCCUUGACUUUGGGAUAACUUCAGGAAACUGGGGCUAAUACCGGAUAGGAGCUCCUGCUGCAUGGUGGGGGUUGGAAAGUUUCGGCGGUUGGGGAUGGACUCGCGGCUUAUCAGCUUGUUGGUGGGGUAGUGGCUUACCAAGGCUUUGACGGGUAGCCGGCCUGAGAGGGUGACCGGCCACAUUGGGACUGAGAUACGGCCCAGACUCCUACGGGAGGCAGCAGUGGGGAAUAUUGCACAAUGGGCGGAAGCCUGAUGCAGCAACGCCGCGUGCGGGAUGACGGCCUUCGGGUUGUAAACCGCUUUCGCCUGUGACGAAGCGUGAGUGACGGUAAUGGGUAAAGAAGCACCGGCUAACUACGUGCUAGCAGCCGCGGUGAUACGUAGGGUGCGAGCGUUGUCCGGAUUUAUUGGGCGUAAAGGGCUCGUAGGUGGUUGAUCGCGUCGGAAGUGUAAUCUUGGGGCUUAACCCUGAGCGUGCUUUCGAUACGGGUUGACUUGAGGAAGGUAGGGGAGAAUGGAAUUCCUGGUGGAGCGGUGGAAUGCGCAGAUAUCAGGAGGAACACCAGUGGCGAAGGCGGUUCUCUGGGCCUUUCCUGACGCUGAGGAGCGAAAGCGUGGGGAGCGAACAGGCUUAGAUACCCUGGUAGUCCACGCUGUAAACGGUGGGUACUAGGUGUGGGGUCCAUUCCACGGGUUCCGUGCCGUAGCUAACGCUUUAAGUACCCCGCCUGGGGAGUACGGCCGCAAGGCUAAAACUCAAAGGAAUUGACGGGGCCCCGCACAAGCGGCGGAGCAUGCGGAUUAAUUCGAUGCAACGCGUAGAACCUUACCUGGGUUUGACAUGGAUCGGGAGUGCUCAGAGAUGGGUGUGCCUCUUUUGGGGUCGGUUCACAGGUGGUGCAUGCCUGUCGUCAGCUCGUGUCGUGAGAUGUUGGGUUAAGUCCCGCAACGAGCGCAACCCUUGUUCACUGUUGCCAGCACGUUAUGGUGGGGACUCAGUGGAGACCGCCGGGGUCAACUCGGAGGAAGGUGGGGAUGACGUCAAGUCCUCAUGCCCCUUAUGUCCAGGGCUUCACGCAUGCUACAAUGGCUGGUACAGAGAGUGGCGAGCCUGUGAGGGUGAGCGAAUCUCGGAAAGCCGGUCUCAGUUCGGAUUGGGGUCUGCAACUCGACCUCAUGAAGUCGGAGUCGCUAGUAAUCGCAGAUCAGCAACGCUGCGGUGAAUACGUUCCCGGGGCUUGUACACACCGCCCGUCAAGUCAUGAAAGUUGGUAACACCCGAAGCCGGUGGCCUAACCGUUGUGGGGGAGCCGUCGAAGGUGGGACUG